GAUGAACGCUAGCGGCAGGCUUAAUACAUGCAAGUCGAGGGGCAGCGGGAGUAGCAAUACUUGCCGGCGACCGGCGCACGGGUGCGUAACACGUAUGUAAUCUGCCCAUCACAGGAGGAUAGCCCGGAGAAAUUCGGAUUAAUACUCCAUAAUAGAAGAUAAAGCAUUUUAUUUCUUGAAGUUACCGACGGUGAUGGAUGAACAUGCGACUGAUUAGUUUGUUGGUGAGGUAACGGCUCACCAAGACUACGAUCAGUAGGGUACGUGAGAGGUUAAACCCCACACUGGUACUGAGACACGGACCAGACU
rnacentral:rRNA from 1 species